rnacentral:rRNA from 1 species
AAGCUGAGGAAAAGAAACCAACAGGGAUUGCCUUAGUAACGGCGAGUGAAGCGGCAAAAGCUCAAAUUUGAAAUCUGGCACCUUCGGUGUCCGAGUUGUAAUUUGAAGAAGGUAACUUUGGAGUUGGCUCUUGUCUAUGUUCCUUGGAACAGGACGUCACAGAGGGUGAGAAUCCCGUGCGAUGAGAUGCCCAAUUCUAUGUAAAGUGCUUUCGAAGAGUCGAGUUGUUUGGGAAUGCAGCUCUAAGUGGGUGGUAAAUUCCAUCUAAAGCUAAAUAUUGGCGAGAGACCGAUAGCGAACAAGUACAGUGAUGGAAAGAUGAAAAGAACUUUGAAAAGAGAGUGAAAAAGUACGUGAAAUUGUUGAAAGGGAAGGGCUUGAGAUCAGACUUGGUAUUUUGCGAUCCUUUCCUUCUUGGUUGGGUUCCUCGCAGCUUACUGGGCCAGCAUCGGUUUGGAUGGUAGGAUAAUGACUAAGGAAUGUGGCUCUACUUCGGUGGAGUGUUAUAGCCUUGGUUGAUACUGCCUGUCUAGACCGAGGACUGCGUCUUUGACUAGGA